AUACCUGCUGCCUGCAGAGCCCAGGAGGACGGGCCCUGUCCCAGGGAGCACAAAGGAGCUGUUUUGUGAAAGCCAGCAGCCUUCCGCAAUGGGAGAGUUGAGAGAAGCUGAGUUACAUCCUGCAAGACAAGCUGGAGAGAAGGAAUUCUGAGUGCUCCUGGCAACCCUAACCUUUCCUGCCAAAGAGGAACUGGUGGAAAAAGCUUUGCCCUGGGCACUGUCACCUUUGUUGUCCCAAAGGAAUAUCCUUGGACCUGUUAGUCAUUUUCAAUAGGCACCAAGAGGGCUGUGUAAGGGGAGCCUUGGUUCUGCCUCCUCCAUGGCUGCUGCAACAUCUGCACAGAGAUGCAGCUGCUCCUCAAGUGGUGACAGCCUGACAGCAACCAGCACCCUCACAACAAUUAGCAGUGUGACGGUGAUGACGGUGUCCUGGAGCAGCCCUAUAGCAGUCCCACUCCUCAUAUGCACAAACGAAGGGAUGGAUGGAGGCUUCGGGGUGAUGCCUCUCGCAGCACAGCUUCAGGAACCCAGGGACGCCCCUUCAACCCAGGU